rnacentral:misc_RNA from 1 species
AAGUCGUAACAAGGUAACCGUAGGUGAACCUGCGGUUGGAUCAUUACAAAAUGAUUUUCCUUGGUUGUUGAGCUCUGCCUCACGGUGGAGUUCCGACCGAGGGACUAACCCUUUGUGCACUAAUUAUCAAUUUUGGGUAGUAUCGGUCCUCGCAGUCAAGUUUACUUGAUUGCUUGUGCUGGGCUGCCCGGCAGUUAACAAACCCUUAUAAUUUGUCUGACUAUAUCGUAAAAAAUAUAAACAACUUUUGACAACGGAUCUCUUGGCUCUC